rnacentral:rRNA from 1 species
AGUGAACGCUGGCGGUAUGCCUAAUACAUGCAAGUCGAGCGACAAGAUAGGAAGAUUGUUCUCUUGCGGUUGGCGACGGGCGGGCGAGUAAGGAAUGGAUAGGAUUCUACUUUGACGGGGAGAAUAUCGGGGAGAAGCAGACACUAAUGGCUAAUACGUCCUACGGGUGAAAUCAAUAGUGCUUGGGAGCUUUGCCGACAGAUUGAGACGAAGUCGGAUUAGCUAGUUGGGUGGGUAAAGGCCCACCAAGGCGACGAUCCGUAGCCGGUCUGAGAGGAUGAUCAGCCACACUGGAACUGAGACACGGUCCAGACUCCUACGGGAGGCAGCAGUGGGGAAUAUUGCACAAUGGGCGAAAGCCUGACCCAGCAAUACCGCGUGGGUGAAGAAGGCCUUCGGGUUGUAAAGCCCUUUUGUUGGGGAAGAACAGCAGCAGGUUAAUCUCUCGACGUUCUGACGGUACCCAAUGAAUAAGCCCCGGCUAACUUCGUG